GAUCAUGGCUCAGAUUGAACGCUGGCGGCAUGCUUUACACAUGCAAGUCGAACGGUAGACCCUUUCGGGGGUUGAGAGUGGCGAACGGGUGAGUAAUGCAUCGGAACGUGCCCAGUCGUGGGGGAUAACGCAGCGAAAGUUGUGCUAAUACCGCAUACGACCUGAGGGUGAAAGCGGGGGACCGGUAACGGCCUCGCGCGAUUGGAGCGGCCGAUGUCUGAUUAGCUAGUUGGUGAGGUAAAGGCUCACCAAGGCGACGAUCAGUAGCGGGUCUGAGAGGAUGAUCCGCCACACUGGGACUGAGACACGGCCCAGACUCCUACGGGAGGCAGCAGUGGGGAAUUUUGGACAAUGGGCGCAAGCCUGAUCCAGCCAUGCCGCGUGCGGGAAGAAGGCCUCGGGUUGUAAACCGCUUUCGGACAGAAAGAAAUCGCGUGGGUUAAUAGCCUGCAUGGAUGACGGUACUGUAAGAAGAAGCACCGGCUAACUACGUG
rnacentral:rRNA from 1 species